rnacentral:rRNA from 1 species
AGCAGCCGCGGUAAUUCCAGCUCCAAUAGCGUAUAUUAAAGUUGUUGCAGUUAAAAAGCUCGUAGUUGAAUUUCGGGAUUGGCGCAUCGGUCGUGCCUCACGGGGUAUGAACUGGUGCAGUCAAUUUCUCACCUUCUGGAGAACCGCGAUGUCCUUAAUUGGAUGCCGCGGGGAACCAGGACCUUUACUUUGAAAAAUUAGAGUGUUUAAAGCAGGCAUUUUUGCUUGAAUACAUUAGCAUGGAAUAAUAAAAUAGGACGGCAUGGUUCUAUUUUGUUGGUUUCUAGGACCACCGUAAUGAUUAAUAGGGAUAGUUGGGGGCAUUAGUAUUCAAUUGUCAGAGGUGAAAUUCUUGGAUUUAUUGAAGACUAACUACUGCGAAAGCAUUUGCCAAGGAUGUUUUCAUUAAUCAAGAACGAAAGUUAGGGGAUCGAAGACGAUCAGAUACCGUCGUAGUCCUAACCAUAAACUAUGCCGACUA